GGGAAGACUCUGCUAAGCGUUCCUCGUUAUCAGAGCGCUACGUACGGUUUACGGGAGGGUCCUGGAUUAGCCCCUAAACCAGGCUCGGUGCGAACAGGUGCGCCCUGAUUCGAUGCCAGCCGUUUGGCUCUGGGUGAAAGUCCCCGGACAGUAGGUCAGAGAGUGUCGGUGGUAAGCAAAGCUGGGCGUUUCAGGUCGCGCACACUUCUGCUCGCGGGACUGCAACCACAGAACCCCAAUAAGAGCGGGAGUGCUGCGCGACAGUGAACGUCGCUUGUCGAUGGUGCAGCGCUGGAACCUGCUGCCGCGUUGGGGUGCUUGCGCCCCAUGUUUGGCAGCGGCAGCCUGCACUGAAUCAGCAAUGGAACGAGCGAGAGCGACCGUCCUUCAUGGACGGCGACUCGUGAACACAAUGGGGCUUACUCUGGCAGUGUGCUCCC
rnacentral:RNase_MRP_RNA from 1 species